AAAUCUCUGCAGGCAAAUGUGAUGUCACUAAAGAAAUCACACACUUACCUAUAGAGAUUCUA
rnacentral:pre_miRNA from 1 species